AGAGUUUGAUCCUGGCUCAGGACGAACGCUGGCGGCGUGCUUUAUACAUGCAAGUCGAACGAUGAAGUUCCUUCGGGAAUGGAUUAGUGGCGAACGGGUGAGGAACACGUGAGAAACCUGCCUUUCAUUCUGGGAUAACACCGGGAAACCGGUGCUAAUACCGGAUACUCCAUCUUGGCGGCAUCGCCGAGCUGGGAAAAAAUCUUGAUGAAAGAUGGUCUCGCGGCCUAUCAGCUAGUUGGUGAGGUAAAGGCUCACCAAGGCGACGACGGGUAGCCGGCCUGAGAGGGCGACCGGCCACACUGGGACUGAGACACGGCCCAGACUCCUACGGGAGGCAGCAGUAGGGAAUAUUGGGCAAUGGGCGAAAGCCUGACCCAGCGACGCCGCGUGAGGGAUGAAGGUCUUCGGAUUGUAAACCUCUUUCAGUAGGGAAGAAGCGAAAGUGACGGUACCUAAAGAAGAAGCACCGGCUAACUAUGUGCCAGCAGCCGCGGUAAUACAUAGGGUGCAAGCGUUGUCCGGAAUUAUUGGGCGUAAAGAGCUCGUAGGUCGUUUGUCGCGUCGAUUGUGAAAAUCUGAGGCUCAACCUCAGACCUGCAGUCGAUACGGGCAAACUAGAGUGUGGUAGGGGAGACUGGAAUUCCUGGUGUAGCGGUGGAAUGCGCAGAUAUCAGGAGGAACACCAAUGGCGAAGGCAGGUCUCUGGGCCAUAACUGACACUGNNNAGCGAAAGUGCGGGGAGCGAACAGGAUUAGAUACCCUGGUAGUCCGCACCGUAAACGGUGGGCACUAGUUGUGGGAACCUUCCACGGUUUCCGCGACGCANC
rnacentral:rRNA from 1 species